rnacentral:rRNA from 1 species
GACGGAGGGUGCAAGCGUUGUUCGGAAUUACUGGGCGUAAAGCGCGUGUAGGCGGCUCUUUAAGUCUGAUGUGAAAGCCCGGGGCUCACCCCCGGAAGUGCAUUGGAAACUGGAGAGCUCGAGUCCCGGAGAGGAGGGUGGAAUUCCUGGUGUAGCGGUGAAAUGCGUAGAUAUCAGGAGGAACACCGGUGGCGAAGGCGGCCCUCUGGACGGUGACUGACGCUAAGACGCGAAAGCGUGGGGAGCAAACAGG